ensembl:snRNA U6 U6 spliceosomal RNA
GCUUGCUUGGGCAAAUAUAGACUAAUUUUAGAACAAUACAGAGAGGACUAGCAUGAAUGCUGUGGAAGGAUUGCAUGAAAAUUUAUGAGGAGUUCCACAUUUUC